rnacentral:rRNA from 1 species
UGGGGAAUUUUGGACAAUGGGCGAAAGCCUGAUCCAGCAAUGCCGCGUGUGUGAAGAAGGCCUUCGGGUUGUAAAGCACUUUUGUCCGGAAAGAAAUGGCUCUGGUUAAUACCUGGGGUCGAUGACGGUACCGGAAGAAUAAGGACCGGCUAACUACGUGCCAGCAGCCGCGGUAAUACGUAGGGUCCAAGCGUUAAUCGGAAUUACUGGGCGUAAAGCGUGCGCAGGCGGUUGUGCAAGACCGAUGUGAAAUCCCCGAGCUUAACUUGGGAAUUGCAUUGGUGACUGCACGGCUAGAGUGUGUCAGAGGGGGGUAGAAUUCCACGUGUAGCAGUAAAAUGCGUAGAGAUGUGGAGGAAUACCGAUGGCGAAGGCAGCCCCCUGGGAUAACACUGACGCUCAUGCACGAAAGCGUGGGGAGCAAACAGGAUUAGAUACCCUGGUAGUCCACGCCCUAAACGAUGUCAACUAGUUGUUGGGGAUUCAUUUCCUUAGUAACGUAGCUAACGCGUGAAGUUGACCGCCUGGGGAGUACGGUCGCAAGAUUAAAACUC